rnacentral:lncRNA from 1 species
CACGAUCUUGAUAAGGGUGGUUCUACUGAGGAAAGUGAAUGUUUACUUCAUAAAGCAACUUCUCCUCCAGUGGAGGAGGCAUUUUUGGCUGGUUGGACUUCGAGAGCAACAGGCAGUUGUUCAUCUUGUAAAGAACCUUCACUAUCCCUUGCAGAACCUCCUCCCCGCAUGAUGUUGCCCACUGUUGAUGAGGUAUCUCAGAUUCCAGAAAACUCGUCGAUAUAAUGAGGGACAUCGACUGUAGCAGCUCGAGACAUGAGGUUUCUUUUGAGAUGGACAGAGAAGAGCCAAUGCCAGAUUCUAACGAAUUUGCCACUGACAAUGAUCUCCUAAGUCAAUUACAAGAUGAUAAAGAGUACAACACAUUUGAUCUGAUGUCAAAUGAUAUGACCAAUAGAAUGUCUUGUAAAGAACCUUCACUAUCCCUUGCAGAACGUAGAGGGAACAUUUGUCCUCCCCGCAUGAUGUUGCCCACUGUUGAUGAGGUAUCUCAGAUUCCAGAAAACUCGUCAAAAUCUCUUCCUUGCAUAGAAGAUGAUAUAAUGAGGGACAUCGACUGUAGC